rnacentral:rRNA from 1 species
AGAGUUUGAUCCUGGCUCAGGACUAACGCUGGCGGCGUGCCUAACACAUGCAAGUCGAGCGGACACCAAUUUGUAGCAAUACAGAUGAAGUGUUAGCGGCAGACGGGUGAGUAACACGUAGUCAACCUAUCUUUUCGUCCGGGAUAACUAGCCGAAAGGUUAGCUAAUACCUGAUGCGAUCGCUGGCCGGCAUCGGCUGG